rnacentral:rRNA from 1 species
CCUACGGGUGGCAGCAGUGGGGAAUAUUGGACAAUGGGGGGAACCCUGAUCCAGCCAUGCCGCGUGUGUGAAGAAGGCCCUCGGGUUGUAAAGCACUUUCAGUGAGGAAGAACGCCUGGUGGUUAAUACCCAUCAGGAAAGACAUCACUCACAGAAGAAGCACCGGCUAACUCCGUGCCAGCAGCCGCGGUAAUACGGAGGGUGCGAGCGUUAAUCGGAAUUACUGGGCGUAAAGCGCGCGUAGGUGGCUUGAUAAGCCGGUUGUGAAAGCCCCGGGCUCAACCUGGGAACGGCAUCCGGAACUGUCAAGCUAGAGUGCAGGAGAGGAAGGUAGAAUUCCCGGUGUAGCGGUGAAAUGCGUAGAGAUCGGGAGGAAUACCAGUGGCGAAGGCGGCCUUCUGGACUGACACUGACACUGAGGUGCGAAAGUGUGGGUAGCAAACAGGAUUAGAUACCCUGGUAGUC